GAUGAACGCUGGCGGCGUGCCUAACACAUGCAAGUCGAGCGAACAGAUGAUCAGCUUGCUGGUUUUACAUUAGCGGCGGACGGGUGAGUAACACGUGGGUAACCUACCUCCAUGUCUUGGAUAACUUCGGGAAACCGGAGCUAAUACCGGAUAUCAUUUGUCUCCGCCUGGUUCUAUCUGGAAAGAUUGUUUUGCUGUCAGUUAUUGAUGGACCCGCGCCGCAUUAUAUUGUUGGUAAGGUAACGUCUUACCACGGCAACGAUGCGUAGCCGACCUGGGAGGGGGGGGGGGCAGACUGGAACGGAGACGAGGUCCAGACUACUACGGGAGGCAGGGGAGGGGAAUCGUCCGCAAUGGGAGGAAGGCUGACGGGACGAAGCGGCGUGGGGGAUGAAGGGGUGGGGCUCGUGAAGUACUGUUAUUAGGGAAGAACAGGAGUGUAGGUAACUGUGCGCGGCUUGACGGUACCUGGUCAGGAAGCCACGGCUAACUACGUG
rnacentral:rRNA from 1 species